AUUGAACGCUAGCGGGAGGAUUUACACAUGCAAGUCGAACGGAGUGGCGGACGGGUGAGUAAUAUAUCGGAAAGUGCCCAGUAGCGGGGGAUAACAACUCGCAAGAGUGGCUAAUACCGCAAAAUAAUUGAGCGGCCGAUAUCGGAUUAGCUAGUUGUGGGGGUAAAGGCUCACCAAGGCAACGAUCCGUAGCUGGUUUGAGAGGACGACCCGCCACACUGGGACUGAGACACGGCCCAGACUCCUACGGGAGGCAGCAGUGGGGAAUUUUGGACAAUGGGGGAAACCCUGAUCCAGCCAUCCCGCGUGUAUGAUGAAGGCCUUCGGGUUGUAAAGUACUUUUGGCAGAGAAGCGGUAUCUGCAGAAUAAGCACCGGCUAACUACGUGCCAGCCGCCGCGGUAAUUC
rnacentral:rRNA from 1 species